rnacentral:rRNA from 1 species
UGGCUCAGGAUGAACGCUGGCGGCGCGUCUUAAGCAUGCAAGUCGAGCGGGAUUGGGUAGCUUGCUACUCAUGAGAGCGGCGGACUGGUGAGUAACGCGUGGGUGACGUACCCUUCAGACGGGGAUAGCUCCUAGAAAUAGGAGGUAAUACCGGAUACGAUAGUGAGUGUCAGAGGCUCAUUAUGAAAGGUUCUUUUGAACCGCUGAAGGAGCGGCCCGCGUACUAUUAGCUAGUUGGUGAGGUAACGGCCCACCAAGGCGACGAUAGUUAUCCGGCCUGAGAGGGUGAACGGACACAUUGGGACUGAGAUACGGCCCAGACUCCUACGGGAGGCAGCAGUGGGGAAUA